AUUGAACGCUGGCGGCAUGCCUUACACAUGCAAGUCGAACGGUAACAGGUUAAGCUGACGAGUGGCGAACGGGUGAGUAAUGUAUCGGAACGUGCCCAGUCGUGGGGGAUAACUGCUCGAAAGAGCAGCUAAUACCGCAUACGACCUGAGGGUGAAAGCGGGGGAUCGCAAGACCUCGCGCGAUUGGAGCGGCCGAUAUCAGAUUAGGUAGUUGGUGAGGUAAAGGCUCACCAAGCCGACGAUCUGUAGCUGGUCUGAGAGGACGACCAGCCACACUGGGACUGAGACACGGCCCAGACUCCUACGGGAGGCAGCAGUGGGGAAUUUUGGACAAUGGGCGCAAGCCUGAUCCAGCCAUGCCGCGUGCGGGAAGAAGGCCUUCGGGUUGUAAACCGCUUUUGUCAGGGAAGAAAAGGUUCUGGCUAAUACCUGGGACUCAUGACGGUACCUGAAGAACAAGCACCGGCUAACUACGUG
rnacentral:rRNA from 1 species